GGUGUGGCAUAGUGGUCUGGUGUUGGACUAUGACUCUGGAAACAAGGGUUCAAUUCCCAACUCAACCA